AUAUGGGUUUCCUUCCUUGAUAACGUGGUUUCUGCAACACCUCAUUCAAGCACUUACAGAAUGUAUGAUUUACAAAAGCAAUAUUGUAAACAUCCUGUCAGAUCAAGAGCCUAAUUUCAUAGAGAAAGAGAGACAGGGUCUUGCUCUGCCACCCAGGCUGAGUGCAGUAACAUGAUUAUGACUCACUGCAGCCUCAAUCUCCUGGGAUCAAGUGAUCCUCCUCCCUCAGCCUCCCAAGCAGCCAGGACUCCAGGCAUGCACCAGUGCACCACUACAUCCAGACUCUACUUAUGUUCCAACAUCUUGGUGGGUUUCACUGAUCCUGUUUAGGUCUUAAAUAGAACUGGGAAAGAAGAAGGAACCAUGUGCUAGUCAUUCUGCCUCUUAUGCUACCUCCCUUGUCACAGUUUUUCAUCACCACAGUCCUCUGAACAGGUUGUAUCCUUCCCACUCAUAGAUGUGAAAAUCAGGCUCAGAGAGAUGAAGUCCUUGCCAAAGGUCACAGUAUUAGUAACUUCAGCAAAAUUGGUGUCAGAAGCUCAGUCUUCUAGUUUAGUAACUCAUUCCACACCAUGGAUUGUACUUCUUAAACUAUAUAACAGCAUGCACUUGGAGAGUUAUAAUUCUUACCUUCUAAUGUAGAAUUUUUGCUAGGAUCCUUUUACUGUAUUAGAAGAGCAUUACAGUUUAUUUCAAACCUGAUGAAUGUUUGAACUUAACUAUUUUUGAUCCAUUAACUCUAGAAACCAUCAUCCCAAACUCCAUGGUUUGGAUCUAAUAACAACUUUGGGUUUCAUACAUGGCUUUACAUACACAGACACACACAGACACACACACACACAGACACACACACACACACACAGAGUCUUAAGACUCUGACCUGGAGAUAUCGGAAGUAAAAGCCCAGAUUUAAGUC